AAAACGGAGAGUUUGAUCCUGGCUCAGGAUGAACGCUGGCGGUAUGCUUAACACAUGCAAGUCGAACGGAAUGCUUAGGCAUUUAGUGGCGGACGGGUGAGUAACGCGUGAGAAUUUGGCUUCAGGUCGGGGACAACAGUUGGAAACGACUGCUAAUACCGGAUAUGCCGGAAGGUGAAAGGCUUGCUGCCUGAAGA
rnacentral:rRNA from 1 species